rnacentral:rRNA from 1 species
UACGUAGGAGGCGAGCGUUGUCCGGAUUUACUGGGCGUAAAGCGCGCGCAGGCGGCACACUAAGUACGAUGUGAAAUCUCCCUGCUCAACGGGGAGGGUGCAUAGUAAACUGGUGAGCUAGAGGACGGUAGAGGGGGGUGGAAUUGCUGGUGUAGCGGUGAAAUGCGUAGAUAUCGGGAGGAACACCAGUGGCGAAGGCGGUUGCCUGGAGCUUUGCUGACGCUGAGGCGCGAAAGCGUGGGGAGCGAUCCGG